CGUGGAUAAGUUAAGGUGAAUAAAAGGGUUUUUGUGAACUUUUCAAUUGGACAAUAUAAAGAUGAGGUAUUGUGUGAUGUUGUGCCAAUGCAUGCGGGUUAUGUUUUAUUGGGUAGACCGUGGCAAUAUGAUAGAAGGGUUAAACAUGAUGGGUUUAGAAAUAGGUACAGCUUCGACAAGGAUAAAAAAACUAUCAAGCUUGUACCAUUGACACCGCAGCACGUGUAUGAAGAUCAAGUGAGGUUGAGGGGUGAGAACGAGAAAAAAGGUAAAGAGAAACAAAAAGAGGGCUCGAGAGAAAAUGGAGACGUGGCUAGAUGUGAGAAAAAUCGAGUAGAGCCACAUGAGAGGAAAGAAAGAGAGCCUAUUGAGAGGAGAGAAAAUGGUAAGUUGAGCUUCUUUGCAAAAAGAGUGAGUUGGUGAGGUCUAACAAAUCUCUCCCCAGUUUGAAUUUAUCUUUGAUGCAGACAUAUGAAAAUCUAUUGCAUGAGGACUUCCUUAAAGGGGUAACACCAUUUGAGUAUCCAGUUGAUGCAUUUCCAUUGGAGGACUUUAUAGGCAUUGAAGGAACAUUUAACAACAUAGCGAAGUAUCAAAAUCCUAAACAUGAGUUGGAUCAACAAAAGGAGCGUGACCGGUUGCAAAGGAGAUCAAAGAUUGAAGGCGAAAAGUGCAAAUUUGAUCUUGAAGUUCUAGAUUUGAGGACGAAUUCUUUCGAAGAGGGAGAUGAUGAUAUGAUCUGGGUUGCGCCACCAAUUAUUGAAGAUAUGAUGAUUGAUUAGAAGAAGCCAAAGCCACAAUUGAGACAUUCAAG
rnacentral:lncRNA from 1 species